CAAAAUUUCAUUUUAAUUAAAGUCUUCGAACAAUUCUUAAUCUAAAUUCAAAUUCAAACCAAAUGCUGUGUGCCCUCCUGCUGUAUGCACAAUGAAACCCAGCCAGUCCAGUUGGCCAGGCCGGUCUGUGCAGCUCCGUAACUCAGUUAACUCAGUCCAAUAAUAACUCAAGCGCCUAACAGCAACGCCUUCACCUGCCGUCUGCGCCGUCCUCGUUUUGGUUAGAUGCAAUUGCCAUUGUGAUAUAGCCGCAGCCAGUGCGAGUGUGCGAGUGAGAUGAAUGCAGCAGCAGCAACAACAACAACAACAAGGAGCAGCAGUCGCGGCAGGAAGCUGUGUGGGCGGCGUUGUGUGCCAUGUUGUAUAUGGAAUGUGAUAUGCUAAUUGCAAGUAGUGCAGCAACUCUUGUCACUGACAAAUACUAAUACACACACACAGAGACACGCACACAUAUUCACACACACACACACACACACUUACAGACACGCCACAUGCUGCAUCCAAAUACAUUCAGCGUCUGUGGCCUGUUGCUUGUGCCUGCAUCAACACUCAUCUGUAUGCAACAGCAGUAACUGCAACCGAAAACAUCCAACAACAACAACAACAAGAACAAUAGCAACAACAUCCAAUAACAGCAACAACAACAACAACAACCUGAAGAAGAAGCAAAGCAAUGUAUUGAAUUUUGUGGCCAUUUCUGUUUGCGUUUUGCCAGCCAGUAAAACAAAACAAAAAACAAACAAACAAACAAUUACAAUAAUAAAUCAAGCAUAGUUUUAUAGUUUAAAUUAAAGAAGAUGAAAAAAACAAAAACGCAUAUAAAUAAUAUCUAUUAACCACUUAUAAGUUGUAGUACAUAAUGAAAAGAGCAGCGAACAAAAGCAAAAAACAAAAAAAUCUAACAAAAAAUACUUAAUUCAACUGCAAAUAAUUUAUGCAUUAAACAAUAUGCAUUUGUUUAAAUGCCAUUAGAG